rnacentral:rRNA from 1 species
UUCUGAAGUUAGAACAGGAUGAGACCUGGCUAGUACUUGGAUGACAGACUGUUUGGGAAUAGCAGGCGCUGCAGACU